CCAAAAGAGUAGCCAACGGAUUUUUCUUCCCGAUGAUGUAAGGGUGCCUCUCGUUGUAGGGAAGAGAGGCGGCCUCCGACGCGUAGCAGCCCUUGGUCAUCCAAGAAGGGCCUCAAGGCGAUGAGGGUCGAGGAUCGCCGUACCUUUUUGUGCUGCCGGAGCUGGUCGACCUCUGCGUGGAAGUUGAACUUCUGAGCUAGGCCGAUAGCGAUCCGUAGAGCAGCGUCUCGCUCCGAAGCCCGGAUAAACCCGGUUUCGGUCUUCAGCUUCCUUGUAGAUUUGUACUCGGCCCCGCUCCAAGUCCGCCUGCUCGACCUUUCCUAGUGGUGAUGCAGGCCACAGAUCUGGGGGGUCGAUGAGCUAGGAGGGUCCCCUCCACCAAAGCUGCGACGACAGGAGCUCCGACAGUGUUAUCCCUCUUCUUGCCAUUCCGCAGGGUUGUGUUUGGUAGCCACGUGUCUCCAAUUUUGAGGCGGAACAUUGGACUGCACGGUGGCUACUCUGUGGGUAACAAACGGCUUUCAGGUUGAGGCAUGCCCUUGGAUCCAGUGGAGGGUAACGCUGGAGUCCGUCCAAGCCGUGAUGGUUGCUGACGUGGUAUGCUAACUGCUUUGACCGGAGCGACCUUAGUUUUUGCCACAAGCAGUGUGGCCACGCUGACUUCUCCCCUGGACACUCGCAGGUAGACGACGGCUGCAUAGGCUCGCUGGGAGGCAUCGCAGAACCCGUGCAGAUCCAGUUGCGCCGAGUUUGCUGAGUAGUUCGUCCAGCGAGGAAUGGCCAAAGUGUCGAGUUGGCUCAGCGUCUUCCGGAAGGUUUUCCAUGCGGAAAGCAGUUGCUCAGGGGCCGCCCAUCCCAAGGGGUCGAAGAGACUGGCUACUUCCGAGAGGAUACGCCUUUUAGUGUAUCGCGUGGGCUCUUUGAGGGGUGGAAGGACACGUAAGGAGAAGGUAUCAGUGGUUGACCUCCAGACGACUCCCAAGG